rnacentral:tRNA from 1 species
ACCUGGGGGGCUCAGUCGGUUGAGCGUCCGACUUCGGCUCAGGUCGUGAUCUCACAGCUUGUGGGUUCGAGCCCCGCCUCGGGCU